AUUGAACGCUGGCGGCAGGCCUAACACAUGCAAGUCGAGCGGAGCGGCGGACGGGUGAGUAAUUCCUACGACUCUGCCUUGUCUUGGGGGAUAACGUCCGGUAACGUGCGCUAAUACCACAUACUAUUUGAUGUGCCUAGGUCGGAUUAGCUAGUUGGUAGGGUAAAGGCCUAAAAAGGCGACUAUCCGUAACUGGGCUGAGAGGAUGAUCAGUCACACUGGAACUGAGACACGGUCCAGACUCCGACGGAAGGCAGCAGUGGGGAAUAUUGGACAAUGGGCGAAAGCCUGAUCCAGCCACGCCGCGUGUGUGAAGAAGGUCUUCGGAUUGUAAAGCACUUUAAGUUGGGAGGCGUUACCAACAGAGGAAGCACCGGCUAACUACGUGCCAGCAGCCGCGGUAAUUC
rnacentral:rRNA from 1 species